GGGGCUAAACCAUGCACCGAAGCUGCGGCAGCGACGCUGAUGCGUUGUUGGGUAGGGGAGCGUUCUGUAAGCCUGUGAAGGUGUGCUGUGAGGCAUGCUGGAGGUAUCAGAAGUGCGAAUGCUGACAUAAGUAACGAUAAAGCGGGUGAAAAGCCCGCUCGCCGGAAGACCAAGGGUUCCUGUCCAACGUUAAUCGGGGCAGGGUGAGUCGACCCCUAAGGCGAGGCCGAAAGGCGUAGUCGAUGGGAAACAGGUUAAUAUUCCUGUACUUGGUGUUACUGCGAAGGGGGGACGGAGAAGGCUAUGUUGGCCGGGCGACGGUUGUCCCGGUUUAAGCGUGUAGGCUGGUUUUCCAGGCAAAUCCGGAAAAUCAAGGCUGAGGCGUGAUGACGAGGCACUACGGUGCUGAAGCAACAAAUGCCCUGCUUCCAGGAAAAGCCUCUAAGCAUCAGGUAACAUCAAAUCGUACCCCAAACCGACACAGGUGGUCAGGUAGAGAAUACCAAGGCGCUUGAGAGAACUCGGGUGAAGGAACUAGGCAAAAUGGUGCCGUAACUUCGGGAGAAGGCACGCUGAUAUGUAGGUGAAGCGACUUGCUCGUGGAGCUGAAAUCAGUCGAAGAUACCAGCUGGCUGCAACUGUUUAUUAAAAACACAGCACUGUGCAAACACGAAAGUGGACGUAUACGGUGUGACGCCUGCCCGGUGCCGGAAGGUUAAUUGAUGGGGUCAGCGCAAGCGAAGCUCUUGAUCGAAGCCCCGGUAAACGGCGGCCGUAACUAUAACGGUCCUAAGGUAGCGAAAUUCCUUGUCGGGUAAGUUCCGACCUGCACGAAUGGCGUAAUGAUGGCCAGGCUGUCUCCACCCGAGACUCAGUGAAAUUGAACUCGCUGUGAAGAUGCAGUGUACCCGCGGCAAGACGGAAAGACCCCGUGAACCUUUACUAUAGCUUGACACUGAACAUUGAGCCUUGAUGUGUAGGAUAGGUGGGAGGCUUUGAAGUGUGGACGCCAGUCUGCAUGGAGCCGGCCUUGAAAUACCACCCUUUAAUGUUUGAUGUUCUAACGUUGACCCGUGAUCCGGGUUGCGGACAGUGUCUGGUGGGUAGUUUGACUGGGGCGGUCUCCUCCUAAAGAGUAACGGAGGAGCACGAAGGUUGGCUAAUCCUGGUCGGACAUCAGGAGGUUAGUGCAAUGGCAUAAGCCAGCUUGACUGCGAGCGUGACGGCGCGAGCAGGUGCGAAAGCAGGUCAUAGUGAUCCGGUGGUUCUGAAUGGAAGGGCCAUCGCUCAACGGAUAAAAGGUACUCCGGGGAUAACAGGCUGAUACCGCCCAAGAGUUCAUAUCGACGGCGGUGUUUGGCACCUCGAUGUCGGCUCAUCACAUCCUGGGGCUGAAGUAGGUCCCAAGGGUAUGGCUGUUCGCCAUUUAAAGUGGUACGCGAGCUGGGUUUAGAACGUCGUGAGACAGUUCGGUCCCUAUCUGCCGUGGGCGCUGGAGAACUGAGGGGGGCUGCUCCUAGUACGAGAGGACCGGAGUGGACGCAUCACUGGUGUUCGGGUUGUCAUGCCAAUGGCACUGCCCGGUAGCUAAAUGCGGAAGAGAUAAGUGCUGAAAGCAUCUAAGCACGAAACUUGCCCCGAGAUGAGUUCUCCCUGACUCCUUGAGAGUCCUGAAGGAACGUUGAAGACGACGACGUUGAUAGGCCGGGUGUGUAAGCGCAGCGAUGCGUUGAGCUAACCGGUACUAAUGAACCGUGAGG
rnacentral:rRNA from 1 species